rnacentral:rRNA from 1 species
CCUACGGGAGGCAGCAGUGGGGGAUAUUGCACAAUGGGGGAAACCCUGAUGCAGCGACGCCGCGUGUGGGAAGACGGUCUUCUGGAUUGUAAACCACUGUCCCCAGGGACGAAAAUGACGGUACCUGGGGAGGAAGCUCCGGCUAACUACGUGCCAGCAGCCGCGGUAAUACGUAGGGAGCAAGCGUUGUCCGGAAUUACUGGGUGUAAAGGGAGCGUAGGCGGGAGGAUAAGUUGAAUGUGAAAUCUAUGGGCUCAACCCAUAGCUGCGUUCAAAACUGUUCUUCUUGAGUGAAGUAGAGGCAGGCGGAAUUCCUAGUGUAGCGGUGAAAUGCGUAGAUAUUAGGAGGAACACCAGUGGCGAAGGUGGCCUGCUGGGCUUUUACUGACGCUGAGGCUCGAAAGCGUGGGUAGCAAACAGGAUUAGAUACCCCUGUAGUC